UGAAAAACUUCCAGCACAUGACCAACUUUCAAUGUUGAAAUAUGGUUGAAAUAAGGUCAGUUGUGGUUUCAACGUUGAAACAACGUUGAUUCAACGUUUAAAGAUGAACGGUUGAAAAACUUCCAGCACAUGACCAACUUUCAACAUUGAAAUAUGGUUGAAAUAAGGUCAGUUGUUUUAAUGAAACAACGUUAAAAAUGUUUAAUGCUAAAUGGUAGAAAAAGGUUAACAAGCUUUUAAAUUAUUUAUAUUAAAUUAUUUAAAUUAAUUAAUUUAUUAUUUUAAUAGCAUUUUAAAAUAUUUUAGUCAUGAUACUUAUUCUAAAAUCUAAAGGUAUAUGUUAAAUAUUAUCAUCAUUAACAACAAUAAAACUAUAUACAUUUCGCUGCUUUAUCAAACUGAAACAACUCCCAUUGGUAGUUUUAUUUUAUUACUUCUAUCAUGAUUGGUUAAUCUGGCUGUCAUUCAGGAAACUGGACAAUGAAUCGGUUCGCGCCUUUCUACAUUUAAAAAUAUGACCGUUAUUGUCGUCUUUCUGUGAGUGAGGCGGAUAACUGUGAGCUGCUGCUCGUUAUAACUGACUGCUCGGUCGGUCCCGAAUUAUUUCAUAUUUGCCUGUACAUUUUUUUUAUUUAUUUUGAGCGAAUUUGAGUCGUGACAUGUCAAUGGAGAACAAAAACUGUGAACACAAGAAGGGUCAGGUGUUCUGCGAGGUCCUGAAAACAUCCUGUCAAAAUGAGAUGAUCAAGUUAGAUGCUCACCCAAUGUGUUGCUGAGUCAUCGAGGAUCCAGCUUGUUCUUGAAACAUUGAAGUUUGCCCUCUGCAAGUGAACGACGCCUUGUGGUGCCAUCCCAAAGAAGUUCACAAUCACUCUCUCGGACCUUUUCCUGGACUGUGCCCAGCUGGUGGAAUGACCUCCCAAUCUCAAUCCGAACUGCUGAGUCUUUACUCAUUUUCAAGAAACAUUUUAAGACUCAUCUUUUUCACCAGAACUUAACCAACUAAUGCUAGCACUUUUCCUUCUUUUCUUGUCUUUCAUAU